GCAGUGUACCCGCGGCAAGACGGAAAGACCCCGUGAACCUUUACUAUAGCUUGACACUGAACAUUGAGCCUUGAUGUGUAGGAUAGGUGGGAGGCUUUGAAGUGUGGACGCCAGUCUGCAUGGAGCCGACCUUGAAAUACCACCCUUUAAUGUUUGAUGUUCUAACGUGGACCCGUAAUCCGGGUUGCGGACAGUGUCUGGUGGGUAGUUUGACUGGGGCGGUCUCCUCCUAAAGAGUAACGGAGGAGCACGAAGGUUGGCUAAUCCUGGUCGGACAUCAGGAGGUUAGUGCAAUGGCAUAAGCCAGCUUGACUGCGAGCGUGACGGCGCGAGCAGGUGCGAAAGCAGGUCAUAGUGAUCCGGUGGUUCUGAAUGGAAGGGCCAUCGCUCAACGGAUAAAAGGUACUCCGGGGAUAACAGGCUGAUACCGCCCAAGAGUUCAUAUCGACGGCGGUGUUUGGCACCUCGAUGUCGGCUCAUCACAUCCUGGGGCUGAAGUAGGUCCCAAGGGUAUGGCUGUUCGCCAUUUAAAGUGGUACGCGAGCUGGGUUUAGAACGUCGUGAGACAGUUCGGUCCCUAUCUGCCGUGGGCGCUGGAGAACUGAGGGGGGCUGCUCCUAGUACGAGAGGACCGGAGUGGACGCAUCACUGGUGUUCGGGUUGUCAUGCCAAUGGCACUGCCCGGUAGCUAAAUGCGGAAGAGAUAAGUGCUGAAAGCAUCUAAGCACGAAACUUGCCCCGAGAUGAGUUCUCCCUGAGACUUAGAGUCUCCUGAAGGAACGUUGAAGACGACGACGUUGAUAGGCCGGGUGUGUAAGCGCAGCGAUGCGUUGAGCUAACCGGUACUAAUGAACCGUGAGGCUUAACCUUACA
rnacentral:rRNA from 2 species